rnacentral:rRNA from 1 species
UACGGAGGGUGCAAGCGUUAUCCGGAUUCACUGGGUUUAAAGGGUGCGUAGGUGGUUUUGUAAGUCAGUGGUGAAAGCCCGGAGCUCAACUCCGGAACUGCCAUUGAUACUGCUUAACUUGGAUCAACUUGAGGUGGAUGGAAUAUUACAUGUAGCGGUGAAAUGCUUAGAUAUGUAAUAGAACACCGAUUGCGAAGGCAGUUCACUAAGGUUGUAUUGACACUGAGGCACGAAAGCGUGGGGAUCAAACAGG